UACAGGUGGGUGAGUAGAAUAUACUAAGGCGCAAGAGUGAAACCUGGUUAAGGAACUCGGCAAUCUAGCCCCGUAACUUCGGAAGAAGGGGUCCCUGCCUCGGCAGGGCGCAGUGAAACGGCCCAACCGACUGUUUAGCAAAAACACAGCAUUCUGCGAAGACGUAAGUCGAAGUAUAGGAUGUGACACGUGACCAAUGCCGAAAGAUUAAGGCAAGGUGUUAGCCCAUGAGGCGAAGCUCUGAACCCAAGUCCCGGUGAAUGUCGGCCGUAACAAUAACGGUCCUAAGGUAGCGAAAUUCCUUGUCGGGUAAGUUCCGACCUGCACGAAUCGUGCAACGAGUUGGGCGCUGUCUCAACCAGGAGCUCAGUGAAAUUGUAGUGGCGGUGAAGAUGCCGCCUACCCGCAGAAGGACGGAAAGACCCUAUGGACCUAAACUGUAAGCAGUCACUGUUUUUUCGAUUCCAAUGCUCAGCGUAAGUGGGAGACUGUGAAGAUGCCCUCCAGGGGGCGUCAGAGUCGUCAAUGAGACACCACCCUUUGCUGUUGGAAGAUCUAACCUGCUGCCUUGAAUCAGGCGCAGGGACCAUGGCUGCCGGUCAGUUUUACUGGGGCGGUAUCCUCCCAAAGAGUAACGGAGGAGCACGAAGUUAGGCUCAGCGCGGUCGGUAAUCGCGUGUCGAGUGCAUAGGCAUAAGCCUGACUAACUGCGAGACGUACAUGUCGAGCAGAUACGAAAGUAGGUCUAAGUGAUCCGGUGGUAGAACAUGGAAUUGCCAUCGCUCAACGGACAAAAGGUACCCUAGGGAUAACGGGCUGAUCGCGCCCAAGAGUUCAUAUCGACGGCGCGGUUUGGCACCUCGAUGUCGGCUCGUCACAUCCUGGGGCUGAAGAAGGUCCCAAGGGUUCGGCUGUUCGCCGAUUAAAGUGGCACGCGAGCUGGGUUCAGAACGUCGCGAGACAGUUCGGUCCUCUAUCCUCUGCGGGCGUAGGAAAAUUGAGGGGUUCAAACUCUAGUACGAGAGGACCGAGUUUGACGCACCUCUGGUGUUCCUGUUGUCGCGUCAGCGGCACGGCAGGGCAGCUAAGUGCGGAAGAGAUAAGCGCUGAAAGCAUCUAAGCGCCAAGCUCCUCCCAAGAUGAAUUUUCCCUGAAGGAUCGUGGAAGACUACCACGUUGAUAGGCUGCGGGUGUAAGUGCAGCAAUGUAUUCAGCUUAGCAGUACUAAUAAUCCGUUCGACU
rnacentral:rRNA from 1 species